AGUGAACGCUGGCGGUAGGCCUAACACAUGCAAGUCGAACGGCAGCACAGUAAGAGCUUGCUCUUACGGGUGGCGAGUGGCGGACGGGUGAGGAAUACAUCGGAAUCUACUUUUUCGUGGGGGAUAACGUAGGGAAACUUACGCUAAUACCGCAUACGACCUACGGGUGAAAGCAGGGGAUCUUCGGACCUUGCGCGAUUGAAUGAGCCGAUGUCGGAUUAGCUAGUUGGCGGGGUAAAGGCCCACCACGGCGACGAUCCGUAGCUGGUCUGAGAGGAUGAUCAGCCACACUGGAACUGAGACACGGUCCAGACUCCUACGGGAGGCAGCAGUGGGGAAUAUUGGACAAUGGGCGCAAGCCUGAUCCAGCCAUACCGCGUGGGUGAAGAAGGCCUUCGGGUUGUAAAGCCAUUUUGUUGGGAAAGAAAAGCAGCAGGUUAAUACCCCGCUGUUCUGACGGUACCCAAAGAAUAAGCACCGGCUAACUUCGUG
rnacentral:rRNA from 1 species